AUCAUUGACAAGGAAUAACCCCUAGCUGCUCUGUUUCUCCACUUUUCAAAGUGAGCGGGCACAUAUUAAUUUCUACCUCUGCUGGAUCAAAUUACCACAAACGUGGUGGCUUAAUCAAUGCUAAUUUAUUAUCAGCUCUGAGGGCAGAAGUCCGACACAAAUCUCACUGGGCUGGAGUCAGUGUGUCUGCAGGACUAGGUUCCCUUCUUGAAGUUCCAGGACGGAAUCCAUUUCCUUACCUUUUCCAGCUUCUAGAGGCCCACGUGCCUUGGCGCUUGACUGUUUCUCCAUCUUCAAAGCCAGCAACGUUGGGCUGCGUCCCUCUCACGCCGCCAUCCCUCUGGUUCUCUCUACGCUCUCUCCUCCCCUUUUAAGUGAACGGCUGGUGGUUAUGGUAAGGCUGUGGCAUGGAGUGGGGCGGGGCAGGGGAGCUGGGCUUGUCCAAAGAGGAAGAAAAAGCAUAGAAACUACUAGGAGAGAGAGUCAGAGAAAUAGAGAAAACAAAGACAAGGAGCAAAUACUGUUCGCCUGGAGAAGGGAAAGAAAGACAAGAGAAAUCUCUAUUGGAAAAACUCAACCGAAACAGGAGGCUUUAAAGCAAAUUCAACUAGUGACCCAGGACUGGAUUUAUGGGGUUCCAAUGAAUUCCUAAUAAUGACAAGUGAUUUCAACCUUUUUUUUCUUUUUUACAUCUUCUUCCUUUACUCUGUCCAUAAGAAAUAGUUGUAUUUUAACAUGUUAUGACAUAAACGGGAAGAGAAGUUUCAGCUGGGCUGAGCUGUUCACAGGUUCUUCUCCCAUGACCACAACCAAAUUGCUUCCGAUGGUGGUUCCUCCCAGUGGCUGGUUUCGUGAGGGCAGGGGCUGUGUUUCAUCAACCACCAGACGCCAGCAGCUGACGUGGUUCCUGGAAACAUUGUCAACACCUCAAAAUAUUAAUAAAUAAAAUGAAUAAAGUAAUCAGCUACCUUCCUCAAAUUUUCUGGCCUCUCACCUAAGCUUCCCAACCCAUUAAUAAAACUAAACAAGAGCACAACUCCAUUCAGAUCGAAAACACAAAGGAGGAGAGGAGAGAUGAAGACAAUGGAAGGCACGAUACCUACCAUUUUCCACCAGAUUUAAGAUGGUUUUUUAUAUUAACUCACAAUUUACUACAGGAAAACUGGACGUUUUCUUUUUUGUUUCCAAAUAGUUCAGCCUGGAAAUGUGAUUUUAGCUAUAUAUUUAUUUUAACAAAUCACACUGCAGCAAAACGGAGUGGGUAGUCUAUGCGGCUUGUAACAAGAGGAUUUUGGGUGUCAGUGGCAAAUAGACGCGUGGCUCAGAACCCCGCUCCCUUCUGUUUCAACAGAAUGAUAACAUUUGGAGGAAAUGUCCUUUUUCCAGGUCUGAUGCUCUUCACGUCCUGCAUCCUGCUUGAGGAAGUCUUCCUGGCAAGACUAAUCUAAAGCAGAGGGAGGAGAAAAAGAGAAUAAGCCUCCUCCACUUCUCCCCUCUCGUUCAUCUCUUUGCUCUCAGCCUCCCCAGGCCUCAUGCUGUCCCAGAGGGACCACACCCCACGCUACUGCCUCUCCUGAUGGACAUUCCCCACCCUCGCCUCCCCACACGAACACACGCUCGCACACGCAGAGGCACACACACACCUUCAGGUAUGAGAUCUGAGGGUGAUCUUAACGUCUAACUCUUUGCCAGAGUUAAUUUACACCAUUAUUUUUAACCAAGGCAUUUAUGCAGAUGGUUAAAAAUCAAGUAAUUUAGAAGAACUUAGAAUGAAAAUCAUCAGUCUCCUAUUUGAAUUCCUCUUUUGUAAAACAAAAAAAAAUGUUCCUGUUUUUAGAAGCAGACGUUUAAAUUUUUCUGGCUUUUAGCUGCUUAUAUUGUGAUUUCUUUUUAUUUUUUAGAUUAUUUCUAUGCAUUAUCAAUUUAU
ensembl:lncRNA